UGCGACAACAACCUUGAAAUAAGAAAGGGGAAUGAAUAAAAUUCUUAAAUAAAAUCUUAAGCAGAUCAUUUAUCCAACUGAGGGUAACUGGGUACUGAGGAUCCACUAGUGGCAUCAAACCUCACUACUUCCAAUUACCAAUCCAAAAAUCAUCUUUGUGUCGCAUCUUCGACGUCGUUGCAAUUCCAGCACGACUCAACACUCUAAUAGCUUGGGUAUAUGCUCGAGCCACAAUAAUAGUAUCAUCUGAGGGCAAAACACAAAUUAAACAAUAAUUGUAAAGGAUCGCCAACUGAAAUUAACAAAUAUCACAUAACAUUUAAAUUUCAAAUACACAAAAUAACCUUUCAACUUAGCAUACACCUUGAAAGGGUUUUCAUAUAUCAAACAUGCAUAAACAAUGUUGAAAAAUGAAGUUUUGACAAACUGCACUGUCAUAGCCGAAUACAACUGAGAAAAUGCAGAUUUUCAAUUCUAAAAUGGCUCUGAAUCAAUCAACACUUCAAACAUUAAUUUUAUCAAUUAUGAACACAUAAUUAACAUCAAAUUAAUCUCCACAAAUUCACACCUCAAUCAGACAUCGAACAUUCAUAACAUCAAUUAUGAACACAUAAUUACAUCAAAACUUAAUCAACCCAACUUGACACCUCAAAGCAAUUACGACACCACGAUUAAUUUCGGUAAAAAAAACUGCGCUCGCGUCAUCGCUUCCGAAGUUGGCUCACUAGCACUGUAGCAUGGAGAUGAGUAAUUUUCCCUUCUGUCACUUCUCGAAACGAAGCUUAGAUCUAGGAGAAGUGUGAAUGUUUUUGUGUUCGUGGGUUUUGAAAACAAACAAAGUUUGGAAACAAAGAAGGAGGAAGAAGAAAGGAAUCUCGCGAGGCUGGGAAACGUUUUCUGUUUCUAAAUAAACAUAUAUAUAUAUAACAAAUAUCUAAAUAAACAUCUAGAUAUUUCUAGAUAUUUUAUAAAAAUCAGUAUUUCACCCAUCAUCUCACAUCACUUCUCAAUCACUUUUUCAGAAAAAUAUAUUCUCUCGCCGCAAUUCAGUUCGGCAGAUGAAUUUUUCUGAAAAACGCUGCAUCUCAGAAAAUUUUCUUUUCAAUAAAAGAUUCACCGUAAAUAAAUAAAAUUAUUCCUCGACGAAUAAUUUUAAUCGGGGCUCCAUAAAUAUAUUUUUGGCAUUUAAUAAACAAAAUACCAAAAACUGGACUAAAAGCCUAAGAAAUUCAACACAAAAUACCCUAAAAUUAUAUAAUUUAGGAUUUAAAAAUUAAGGGUCUUACAUUACUACCCUCUAAAAAGAAGUUCUGUCCUCGAAACUUAAAGUAAGAGUAAAAACCGCACCUCGUUUGCACUCAACUCAACAUACGUGAUAGAACUUGCUUUGUCAUACUUCCGUGAAGAAAGUGUCGUCUGUAAGACCCUUAGUUUUAAUUUCUGAUUUAUGUAUUUUGGUGUGUUUUUAUGUUGAAUUCUGAGGCUUUUUAGCCAAUUUUUUUGGUAUUUUGUGAGUUAAAUGCAAAAAUAUCUUUUUGGAGACCCGAUUAAAAUUAUUCGUCGAUGAAUAAUUUUAUUUAUUUACGGUGAAUUUUUGUCGAAAUUUUUUUUUGUUGAGAUGCAACGCUUUUCAGAAAAUUCAUCUGCCGAAUUGAAUUGCGGCGAGAGAAGAUAUUUUUCUGAAAAGGGUAGUUUGUGAUGUGAUGUGUGGUGACAGACGUAAUAAUGAUUUUUAUAAAAUAUCUAGAUAUUUAUUUAGAUAUUUGUUAUAUAAAGAAAAUGAAAGGAAAAGAGAAACAUAAAGCAAAAAUUUUCCAGCCUUCGCGAGAAACUUCUUCUUCCUUAUCUGUUCCAGUUUUUUAUUUCAAAUCCACCCAAACCCAAACCUCCAUUUUCUUCAACUUCUGAGCUUCGUUUCAAGAAGUGACAGAAGGGAAAGUUGCUCCUUGCCACGCUGCGGUGCUAGUGAGCCAACUUUGGAAGCGACGACGCGAACUUUUACCGGAAUUAAUCGUGGUGUCGUAAGCGCUUGUUAGAGCUAUCAUUUAGGUAAGGGUUCCUUCCAAACUUUUAGUUUGCAUUUAGGAUAUUAUUUGUGAUUUUGUGGAAAAGAAAUUUGAUGUGUGAAUUUAUAGAAAAUGAAUUUAAUGCGAUUAUGUGUGAUUUAGUGGAAUUUAAAUUUGAGGUGUGGUUUGUGGUGUUCCAUAUUUGAAGUGAUUUAUAUGUUCAUAAUUAUUAUUAUGAAUUUUUGAGAUGUGAUUUAUUUGCAGAUUUUGUGGAAAAUGAAUUGAUGAAAUUUGGUGGUUUAUGGGUAAAAAUGUGGAGUUUUGAAAUUGGGUGAGUUAUGUUUGAAUUGUUGAAAUUUAAUUGAGGUGCUAUAUGUGUGUUGUGGAAUUGAAUUGAUUGUUGUUGGUGUGAAUUGACGUUAAUUAAAUUUGAUGUGUUUGAGUUACGUAAUGAGUCAUUUUCAAAUAAAUGAGUUUGAAUUGAAAUUGAAAGUUUACAAAAAAUUUAGAGUUGUGAAAAAGUUCAAAUUUAAACUAAGUUAAAGAGUAUGAGCAAAAAGAUAGAUUGAAAUUAAAAAUGGUUAGAGUUUAAAUGCUACCCUUUUAAUUACUCUUGAACUGAGUUUUAAAAAGGAAAAAAAAAUUAGAGUAUUUUAUUAACUCAAAAUUUUUGGUGCUUUAAUAGUCGAGUGUGUGUAUGUGAUAUUUGAAUAAUAUUUGUUUUAUUUAGUUUUAACUAAAUAAUAUAGAUUAUUUGGUUUUAAAAGUUUGGUGCAUGAGAAAAAUUUAAUUUUGGGAUUUUGUUGUGUUUAGAUUAGUUUUAUUGUGAACAAAUUGUUAUAAAUGUUCAUGUUUAUGUAGUUAGCUCCUUGAAUCUCGAAAAGGAAUCGAGACCGUUGGCACCGAGUUAGCGGUGUGGAGAACUCUGAUAUAUUAAUGUUGUUGUGAUUUAUGGUUGAAAUUUUUGGAGAUUGAAUAUAGGUGAUUAAUGUUUGAAAAUUUUGGUGAUUCAUGUUUGGUGAAAUUGAUGUGUUCAUAAUUAAUAUUAUGAUUUUUUUUAGAAUAAAUUUAUGUGUGACUUGGUGGAAAAUGAAUUUAAUUCAAUUUAGGUGUGGCUGGAAUUUGGAGAUGUGAUUUAUGUGUGGUUGUGAAAAUUUAAAUUGGUGUGAAUAAAUUUGUUUGAGUAUGUUAUGUGUUGUAUUUGAAAAAUCAUUAGUGUUAAAUGAGUAUUAAAAAUGGGGAAUCUUUUAAUAGCUGUAUUUACUUAAUGAUUGUGGUGAAAAGAGUUAGAGUAUGCUCAUGCAUUUCAUUGUACAUGGUGACCGCGACGGGGUCAUGGUGAUAGUGGUGACCGUGAUGGGCCACAGGAUGAUGCCAUGUGAAUUGUUGGUUCAUCUUAUCCUUGCGGGGAUUGUCGCGUCGUGUUGAUCUGUGAGGGAUUGCACUUUAGAAAAUCGUGCUGGUCUGUGAGCAACUGCACGCUAGUAAAUCGUGCUGAUCUGUGAGAGAUUGCACCUUGGUAAUUAGUGCUUAUAUGUGAGAGAUUUCACUCUAGAAUGUGUUCAUCUGUGAGCGAUUGCACUCUAGAAAAUUGUGCUGGUCUGUGAGCGACUACACGCUAGUAAAUCGUACUAAUCUGUGAGAGAUUGCACCUUGGUAAUUAGUGUUGAUCUGUGAGAGAUUGAACUCUAGAAUGUGCUGAUAUGUGAGCGAUUGCACUAUAGAAAAUCAUGUUGGUCUAUGAGAGACUGCACUCUUGUAUGUCAUGCUGAUCUGUGAGCAACUGCACGCUAGUAAAUCGUGCUGAUCUGGGAGAGAUUGCACUAUGGUAAUUAAUAUUGGUCUGUGAGAGGCUGUACAAUUAUGAUUUACGCCAUUCGAGGAGGGGUUUGGUUUGGAAUUUCGGAAUCAUGCAUUUUGGCAUAUACGCAGUGCAUUAGAGUGCUUGGCACGCGAGUCAUGUUUUUAUACUAUGAUGAUUGUAUAUACAUAUUCGGUUGUUGUUGUGAUUUGCUGUAAUUGCUUUGAGGUGUGAAGUUGGGUUGAUUAAGUUUUGAUGUAAUUAUGUGUUCAUAAUUGAUGUUAUGAAUGUUCGAUAUGUGAUUGAGGUGUGAAUUUGUGGAGAUUAAUUUGGUAUUAAUUAUGUGUUCAUAAUUGAUAAUAUUAAUGUCUGAAGUGUUGAUUGAUUCAGAGCCAUUUUAGAAUUGAAAAUCUGCAUUUUCUCAGUUGUAUUCGGCUAUGACAGUGCAGUUUGUCAAAACUUCAUUUUUCAACAUUGUUUAUGCAUGUUUGACAUAUGAAAACUCUUUUAAUGAGUAUGCUAAGUUGAAAGGUUAUUUUAUGCAUUUGAAAUUUAAAUGCUAUGUGAUAUUUGUUAAUUUCGGUUGGCGACCAUUUACAAUUAUUGUGGAAAUCUGGGCUUUGCCCUCAGAUGAGAAUCAGGAUCGUCCUAUCGGUUAGUACUUUGGAGACGGGCAUGUAGUUAGACAUACCUGACCGAAGCUGUGUCAGGAGGAUCUUGCGAGACACUUGGAGAUCACCCGAGUUUUAUAGUAUUUGUAGCAUGAUCAGAUUAGGUGGUUGUAUAGGGACUAGAUGCCUUUCUUUUGUGGUUGUAUUUAUUUUAUUUUGGAAGAUUGUAUCUAGGAUUAAACUGUCUGAUGACUUUUCUUUUGAUGAGUCCAUAUUCCACUUUUUGAUGUAACGUAGCUUUAUGCAGGUGUCUGCCCAGAAUACCCCAGAGGUAUGAGUUAUGUCUGGCAUGUCUCAUAGCCCCAAUGUAUUUUGCUAUUUAAAUACUUUGUAUUUUUGUUUCAAAAACUAUUUCCGUUGUUUGUAAAUAUUGUUGACUUUUGUCGUUGUGUUACGACUUAAAUAUUUUAUCCAAAAGUAGUUAUUUCCUUAUUUCUUUGUUUUAUGAAUUUGUUUUUAAGAAGAAAAAAAUACACUCGUGCGGUUAAAAAUUCGGGGUGUUACAUCGUCUAUCCCUUUUCCUAGAUACUUAAUAACUCUACACACUACCAUAGCCGGUAAGACUCGUCCGUUCCAUUCAACAUGAUUUUGUCUACUAUCAACAAGAGAUUAAGGAUGAUCAGUUCCUCAAUUUGUCAAUAAGUAACCAACAACCAUGAUGAUGACUUAGACUAUCUUAACCGAACUGUAAUAGUGCUCCUUGGGACUUUCACUUGAGGUUAUCCUAAUGCACAAAUGGUCAAACAAUCCUCUCAAGGUCCACUGUGUUUCCCGUAUUUCUCUAUUACUUUGAUCCUAUCGACGAAGUACAAUCGUCCAAAACUAUGUCACAUAGCCUCAUAUACCUCGACUUAGUACCAAACUGAAACUGUGAGUAUGACACUGACACACUGAGCACCAAACAAUCAUUACCGUUGGGAACUCCUGAAUGUCUCCAUUGUCCACAAGUCCUAGAUUUUUGUUUCUUUAGUCGCACAACCAUGCCAAACCGUAGUGUUCUUAUCAGUAUGUUGUUCUGAUUAUAACUCUAAUAAUUCCAUCCCCACAUCUGCUUGGUGAUCCAAGUUUCCUCAAAUAUUUUCGUUAACAUGCCAAAAACUAUACUAGUUAAGACACACAAACUUCCUUUUAGUUUAGUACUUCAUUUCAAGAGUCACAUCUCCAACAAAAUCCAACUUGAACUUAAUUCACAGAUCAAAGCCUACAUUUGUCUCAUGUAUAAAACCUCAAAUUCACUCAUCACUAGUCAAUUUGUUACAUACUUCGCAAUUCUGCACAAACUCAAAGAUAAUUUUCCUACAUCUAUUGUCAACACUCAUUAUGAUACUUCUCAACUUCGUUGCGUCCUUUCUUUGCAGCUCGAUGAUUAUCUCUUCAUUAUUUCGAAAUCAUUACUUAGCUUAAUCUUGUAUGUCUUUUCCCAAAAAUUGUUCUCUUCUUUGAUAACCACAAUUGGUACACACCAUCGUGCCAAAAUUUCAUCCAACCUAACUGGAUUUUCUUUUGUCUUUCCUCUUACUAUUAAACUUUUCUUCCUUCGAAGAAGCUUUUCAUCCUGGUCAUUAAGAACUCCUUCAAUAAUUCAAACAAAAUCUUAAUUCCUCCUAACUUUCACGCUUCUUACGAAAUAUUCUACAUCUAAAAUAUAUCUCAAACACUUUUCACCUCUACCGUCAUUCAACUGUCCAUGUGGUCAACAUCUAGAGUCCUUUAUUUGCUUAGCUCACCUGCCAUCAUACUUCAUCUUUCUUCAUUAUAGUGAUUUCAAUAAAUCAAGCUUUGCUAAUUCCCACCAAACUUUUCCAUUUCAUGCUCAAUUCUUUCCUACCAAACAAACAUUUAACUCCUUUGAUUGAUGGACACAAUAACAACCCCCAUGACAUGCAUUCAAGUAGUGCCUUUGUAUCAUCGGCAUACCCUUAUAAUAACAAUGUUUGAAUUAUAGGUGAGAUAAUCCCUUUGCUGAAUCCUUAAUUGCAUAAGCUACAUUUCCAUGUGCUGCUCCAACAAGUUUUCGUGGCAUAUUUUCAAAAAAAAUUGGUUCACUCGCUGGAUUUCUUAUUCCUUCUCAACCUUCACCAAGAUACAAACUAAAAAAAUCCCAACAAUCGAAUGUCCUAAAUGUAAGACCCGUAAUUUUAAAGUACCAUUUAUGUAUUUUUGGUGUAUUUUGGAUUUUGGCUCGGAGGCUUUUAAGCCAAAGUUAAUAAUAUUUUGGAGUUUUAUAAUCAAAAAGAUAUUUUGAUGCCAAUUAAAAUUUCUCUUCGAUAAAUAAAUUGAAUUUAACUGCGUUGAAUCCUUUACGGAGAAUUUAAUGCGUUUCGGGUGAAACGGUAAUUUAACAAAUAUCUAGAUUUUGAGAUAUUUGUUAAGUUAUAUUUAUUAUAUUUAUAUAUGUUUGUUUGGAGGGAAAAAGAAAGGAAAACUAGAAGGAAGGAAAAGGAAAAGAAAAUAGUAUAUAAAGGAAGGAAGGAAAAAGGAAGAAAGGAAAAAACAAAGGAAAGAAAAAGAAAGGAAGGAAAAUUUCAAAACUUCAUCUUCUUCCUUUAACCGUGACCCAUUUUUCUCCUUUCUCCCAUUUUCGUUUUUGUCGCUUUCUUUUCUUCAAAACUAGUAACCCAAGGUUGGGUGGGAGUUAGAUCAAGGUUUUCGCAACUCCACUUUUCCUCUUUGAUUCGAAAACGAAGAAAAACGGUUUUUGAGAUCCAAACACAAACCCCUCCGUUUCUUCAAGAUCCAAGCUUCAUUUCGCGAAGAGUCAGAAGGGAAGGUUGCUCACUACCACGCCACGGUGCUAGGGGACCUAUUUGGAGGCGAAGUUGCGAGCGGAGAUUUUACCGAAAUUACUCGCGGUACCGGAAACGCACGUUAAAGCUAACGUUGAGAUAAGGGCUCCUUCCAAACUUCUAGUUUGCACGGUACCGGAAAACCACGUUAAAGCUAACGCUAAGGUAAGGGCUCCUUCCAAACUUCUAGUUUGCAUUAGGGACUUAUCUGUGGUUGUGUGGGAAGGAAUUUGUUAGGGUUAAAUGUAUCGAUUUGGGGAAAAACGAAACUAGUGCGUUAUGGGUAAAACCUUAGAGUUAGGUUUUGUUUAUAAUGAUGAAUGUUUCGUGGUAAAUGAAUUUGAAUGUCAUUGUGUAUGAUUAUGAGUCUUUGAUUUGUGUUCGUUGUAUUUGGCGUGUCCAUACUUGAUGUUUGUUAAUUGGUGUGGUUGUUGUGAAUUAUGGUUUGAAUGUGAGAGUAUGAUUGAGUUUGUUUCUGUGGAAUUGAAAAACCAUUAGAGUAAACGAGUAUUAAAAAUGGGGAAUCUUUUAAUACCUCGGUUUACUUAAUGUGCUUUUGAGGAAAAGGUUUAAGUUAACUGGGCGUUGAGGAUGGGGAAUCUCUUAAUGUCUCGGUUACUUAACUAUCGUUUUGAAAAUCGUUUCGGUAAAUGAGUAUUAAGAAUGGGGAAUCUCUUAAUGACUCGUUUACUGAAUGUUUUGUGAGAAAAUCGUUUAAGUCAAAAGUAUAUUAAGAAUGGGGAAUCUCUUAAUAUGACUGUUUGCUUAACGUUUUGUUUUGAAAAUCAUUAAGAUAAAUCGGUAUUAAGAACGGGGAAUCUCUUAAUGACUUAUUUAAUUAAUGUUGUUUGAAAGUCGUUUAAGUUAAAUGGGUAUUAAAAAUGGGGAAUCUUUUAAUAUCUGCAUUUGCUUAACGAUUGUUGUGAAUGGAGUCUGUGUAUGCUCAUGCAUUUCAUUUGGUAAAUUGUGUCGACCCGUGAUAGGUGACACCUUGGUAAACUGUACUGACCCGUGAUAGGUGGUACGUUUACGAUUUACUAUUUAGUAAAUCGUGUUGACCCGUGAUAGGUGACACCUUGGUAAACUGUACUGACCCGUGAUAGGUGGUACGUUUACGAGUUACUAUUUAGAAAAUCGAGUUGACCCGUGAUAGGUGACACCAUGGUAACUGUACUGACCCGUGAUAGGUGGUACAUUUACGAUUCCCGCUUUUUCUUUUAGUAAAUCGUGUUGACCCGUGAUAGGUGACACCUCGGUAAACUGUACUGACCCGUGAUAGGUGGUACAUUUACGAUUCCCGCUUUUUCUUUUAGUAAAUCGUGUUGACCCGUGAUAGGUGACACCUCGGUAAACUGUACUGACCCGUGAUAGGUGGUACGUUUAUGAUUUACGCAUUUUAGUAAAUCGUGCUGACCCGUGAUAGGUGGCACCUCGGUAAUUGGUACUUUGGCCUGCGAUAGGCGGUACAAUUAUGAUUUACGGCCCUUCGAGGAGGGUUUUGGUUUGGAAUUCCGAGUCCAUGCAUUUUGGCAUAUACGCAUUGCAUUAGGGUGCCUGGCACGCGAGUCAUGUUUGAUUUGAGUUUAUGAUUGAGUGAUUCGAAUUUUGAUUUAUCGUGAUAACUGAGAUGAAGGUGUUAAGUGCUAUGUGUUGUGUAUUGUGUGUGAGUAUGAUGGUUAUCGAACCUUCGUGUGUCGUAGUAAUCGCGUAGGAAUUGCUAAGUGUUAAGUUGUGGACUUGAGUUAAUUCAUGAAUUUUUGGAAAAAUGAUGAGGGAAAUCGAUUUCCCAAUCGAUUGGAUGAGUUGCAGGAAGUUCACUAUUUUAACCUAAUCGAUUUGCCAAUCGAUUGUAUAAAUAUGUCUUUCAAAAUCUUUUAAGAAAUCGAUUUGGAAAUCGAUUGGCAGAGAGGCAGGAACUCAGCAAAACUGCCAAAAUCGAUUUGGAAAUCGAUUUGGCAACACAGGGACUCAUCAGAACUGACAAAAUCGACUUAGAAAUCGAUUUGGUCAUGCAGAAACUCAGCAGAACUGACCAAAUCGAUUUGGCAAUCGAUUGGCUCAGCAAAAGUCCUUAUUUUGAGUUAGAUAAUCGAUUGCUCAAUUGAUUUAUCAAUGCUUUGGUCAGUUAUGUAUUACUUGAUGGUUUGAGAACUUCAUUUUGAGUUCAUUGUUAAUUGGCAAGCAUUAUACGAACUUUUAGCAUAUAGAAAAUCCUGUUAAGGUGCAUGCUUAGUUGAAAAGUUGUUUUGAGCAUUUAAAAACUUAAUUGCUAUGUGUUAACUGUUAUUUUCUGGUUGGUGACCCUUUACAAUUAUUGUGGAAAUCUGGGCUUUGCCCUCAGAUGAGAGUCAGGACGGUCCUACCGGUUCGUAUCCUACGGACGGGAAUGGAGAUGGGAACGCUUGACUGCAGUUACGUUAGGAGGAUCUCACGGGGCGCGUGGAGAUUACUCAGGGUGUAUAGCUUUUUGGCAGGAUGAUCAGAUUAGGAUGGUGUAUAAGGACUAGGGGUCCUUCUUUUUGGUUGGGAGUAUUUUUAGUUUGGAAAACUGUACUUAUACUAAUAUUGUCAGUUUGACUUUUUACUUGAAUGGGUUCCAUGUACCAUUUGUUGUUGUGUAAAUGUUUUGGAUUUAUAAUUGGAGAAACUCUUCCGCUGUUUGUAAAUUAUAAUGACUCAAUUAUUUAUCCAAAGGCAUUUUCCUGAUUUAAUUCUCUGUUUUAUUUUAAUUACUUUUGAAAAAAAAAAUAUACCCUCGCUUUGAAAAACGGGGUGUUACACUAAAGAACUACUCCUCAAAUGUUCCCACUAAGCAUUUUCUAAUAAAUAAUUAUCUAUAAACUUCAUCUUCAUAACUUUGCAGUAAAAUAUCUCAAAGGCCUACAUAUUUUUCAUCGUCCAUCUAGUCACUAAAACACUCAUUUUAAAUCUUAACGCUUGACUUCCAAAGACCAACAACUAAACCAUAAAUCAUUUGUUACAUUUCUUUUUUUUCACUUUCUACCAUUAAAUAAAAUUCUAAAAUCUGAUCCUCGAAAUAUCCAAAUACUCAUCACACCGUCUAAUUUCAUCCAUUUCAUCUUAAGAUACAAUACCAGGUCUUUUUCAUCAUUGACUCUAAUCGUCUUAGUAAUCUCACUGAUUAAAACUCUCAUAAUCAUAACACAACAUUUUUAGUAGAUCUUCAAAAACUCUCAUCCAUAACUUAUUUAUCCCUUGCCUACCUCAACUACCUUAAUUAUACAAGUUUUAAGGCGUCACUUGGUCCUCCAUCCAACCUUGUGGAUUUUAAAUUAUCGACUUAAGGAUCAACCAUCUUAGAGUUCUAAAUCAAAUCUCGAAUAAUCCAUUCGACUUAUCAAAAUAUUCACACUCUCCUAGUAAUUACUAUCCUUUAAUAUACACUCAAAGCUUACUUUGCUACCAUCUCUAAGUAUUCUCGUACUCUAUACUUCCAAUUCCACUUAAUAGUAAGAUAUGGUUUAAUAUAUCAAGGCUUAACUCAUUAUGUUUAUCCCGACAUCACCCAAAAUUCACAAUUAUGCGCCUAUAGUUUCAUCUAAAAUCACUAUCCAUACUUACCAUGUCCUAAACCACACAAAUAUUUGUCACUUAUCAAAGAAAUAUAUAUUUUCACUCUUAUAAUCGUCAUGAGAUUCAUACUUAAUAAUCUAAGUUGCGAAUCUAGUUUAACUCGAAUGCUCGACCUUACCCCUCAAGUUAUCGACUAAUCGUCAAAGCAUCCUUUUCCUACCCAAGGUAGUAUUCACCCUUAAUGUGCAGUGCCCCUUAACUUUAAUACAAGCCUCUUCCUGGACACCUAAGCACCAAAUGCUAUUCCAAAAGGAAGCAUCGUCUUCUCAACCAUUCUGUGAUGUUGACAUCUCUUUGAUAGAUAUCAAACUUCAUCCAGUCUUGUCCUGAAAUCUACUAGGAAACAUCUAAUACUAUUCUUAACAAAAGUCCUCCACUUAGAUCUUUACUUGAAAUCCCUUAUCAGUCUAAUGUUAAUCCAUCCAUAUUCAUCAUCUUCGAGUUAACACCAACAUAUAGCUUCUGUAUCCUUGGAACCACUUCAUAAAUCUCAUGUCAUAAUGAUUCGCUUCAACCUUAUCUUUCCUAGACCGAUACAUUUAAGGAAUUCAGAGACAUACGUUGAUCAAAGUCGACUAAUGUUAUAUGUUAUAACUACUCUUCCAACUAAAGUGCUACAAGGCACCAUGUUUCUCAUAAGAAACAAUAAACUACUUAAGCAUAUCAUGUUUGACCCAAGACAACAAAACAUAAAGUACACUUGGACUUCAGUUACUUGCCACCCCUAACUUCGACUCUUCAUCAACUUAGGACACCCAAAUCACAGGCCCAAGGAAAUUUAAACCAAAGCUCUGAUACAACAAUGUAACACCUCAAUAUUUAACAGCGCAAGUGUAUUUUUUUUUUAAAUAAAACAACUUCAACUUAAUAAAAAAAAAAUACCAAGUCGUCACACAAACGACAAAUGUAAUAAAUAAUGACAUCAUAAUAUACAUCCGGCUAAAAUAGUUUAUUUCAUAUACAUAAGUUCCAUUGCGACAACAACCUUGAAAUAAGAAAGGGGAAUGAAUAAAAUUCUUAAAUAAAAUCUUAAGUUGAUCAUUUAUCCAACUGAGGGUAACUGGGUAUUGAAAAACCACUAGUGGCAUCAAGCCUCACUACUUCCGAUUACCAAUCCAAAAAUCAUCUUUGUGUCGCAUUUUCGACGUCGUUGCAAUUCUAGCACGACUUAACACUCUAAUAGCUUGGGUAUAUGCUCGGGCCACAAUAAUAGUAUCAUCUGAGGGCAAAGCCCAAAUUCCACAAUAAAAUUAUAAAGGUCACCAACUGAAAUUAACAAAUAUCACAUAGCAUUUAAAUUUCAAAUGCACAAAAUAACCUUUCAACUUAGCAUACACCUUGAAAAGGUUUUCAUAUGUCCAAAAAUGCAUAAACAAUAUUGAAAAAUGAAGUUUUGACAAACUGCACUAUCAUAGCCGAAUACAACUGAGAAAAUGCAUAUUUUCAAUUCUAAAAUGGCCCUGAAUCAAUCAACACUUCAAACAUUAAUAUUAUCAAUUAUGAACACAUAAUUAACAUCAAAUUAAUCUCCACAAAUUCACACCUCAAUCACACAUCGAAUAUUCAUAACAUGAAUUAUGAACACAUAAUUACAUCAAAACUUAAUCAACCCAACUUCACACCUCAAAGCAAUUACGACAAAUCUCAACAACAAUCAAAUAUGUAUAUACAAUUAUCAUAGUAUAACAAACAUGACUCGUGUGCCAAACACUCUAAUGCAAUGUGUAUAUGCCAAAAUGCAUGAUUCCGGAAUUCCAAACCAAAACCCUCCUCGAAUGACGUAAAUCAUAAUUGUACAGCCUCUCACAGGCCAGUACUAAUUACCAAGGUGCAAUCUCUCACAGAUCAGCAUAAUUUACUAGCGUGCAGUCGCUCACAGACCAACACAACAUACAAGAGUGCAGUCGCUCAUAGACCAGCACGAUUUUCUAGAGUGCAAUCGCUCACAGAUCAUCACAUUCUAGAGUGCAAUCUCUCACAGAUCAGCACGACAUACAAGUGUGCAGUCGCUCAUAGAGCAUCACGAUUUUCUAGAGUGCAAUCGUUCACAGAUCAACACAUUCUAGAGUGCAAUCUUUCACAGAUCAGCACGACACGACAAUCCCAACAAGGAUAAGAUGAACCAAUAAUUCACAUGGCAUCAUCUCGUGGCCCAUCACGAUCACCACUAUCACCAUGACCCCAUCGCGGUCACUAUGUACUAUGAAAUGCAUAAGCAUACUCUGACUUUUUUCACCACAAUCAUUAAGUAAAUGCAGCUAUUAAAAGAUUCCCCAUUUUUAAUACUCAUUUAACACUAAUGAUUUUUUAGAUACAACACAGAGCAUACUCAAACAUAUUUAUUCACACCAAUUUCUAUUUCCACAAACACACCUAAAUCAUAUCUCCAAAUUCAAUCCACACAUAAAUUGAAUCAAAUUCCUUUUCCCCCAAACCACACAUAAAUUUUUUCUCAAAAAUUCAUAACAUUAAUUAUAAACACAUCAAUUUCACCAACACAAGUCACCACAAUUUUCAAACAAUAAUCACUCAUAUUCAAUCUCCAAAGUUUUCAACCAUAAAUCACCACAACAGCAUUAAUAUAUCAGAGUUCUCCCCACCGCUAACUCGGUGUCAACGGUCUCGAUUCCUUUUUGAGACUCAAGGAGCUAACUAAAUAAACAUGAAUAUUUAUAACAAUUUGUUCACAAUAAAACUAAUCCAAACACAACAAAAUUCCCAAAAUUAAAUCUUUCUCACACACCAAACUUUUAAAACCAAAUAAUCUAUAUUAUUUAGUUAAAACUAAAUAAAAUAAAUAUUGUUCAAAUAUCACAUACACACACUCGACUAUUAAAGCACUGAAAUUUUUGAGUUAAUAAAAUACUCUAUACUUUUUUCCUUUUUAAAACUCAGUUCAAGAGUAAUUAAAAGAGUGACAUUUAAACUCUAAUCAUUUUUAAUUUCAAUCUAUCUUUUUGCUCAAACUCUUUAACUUAGUUAAAAUUUGAAACUUUUUCACAAUUUUAAUAACUCUAAUUUUUUUUUAUAAAAUUUCAACUUCAGUUCAAACUCAUUUAUUUGAAAAUAACUCAUUACGUAACUCAAACACUUCAAAUUUAGUCAUCACACAUAAAUCACAUCUAAAAAAUUCAUAAUAUUAAUAAUGAACACAUAAAUCACACCAAACUUGAAUCACCACCAACCACACCUCAAAUUUAAAUUCCACUAAAUUACACAUAAUCACAUUAAAUUCAUUUUCCACAAAUAUACACCUCAAAUACAUCAAAUUUCUAUUCCACAAAAUCAUAAAUAAUGUCCUAAAUGCAAACUAAAAGUUUGGAAGGAGCCCUUACCUUAACGGUAGCUUUAACAAGCGAUUAUGGCACCACGAUUAAUUUUGGUAAAAAAAUUGCGCUCGCCUUGUCGCUUCCAAAGUUGACUCACUAGCACCGUAGCGUGGAGAUGAACAACUUUCCCUUCUGUCACUUCUCAAAACGAAGCUUAGAUCUAGGAGAAAAGUGAAGGUUUUUGUGUUCGUGGAUUUUGAAAACAAACAAAGUUUGGAAAAAGAUAAGGAGGAAGAAGAAAGGAAUCUCGGGAGGCUGAGAAACGUUUUCUGUUUCUCUUUCU
rnacentral:lncRNA from 1 species